GGGGGGGGGGGUAAAGGAUGCGAAAUCCAAAAAGUGGACCUAAUUUUUCUGUGUGUGUGUGGGCAAGAUCUCCAAAGGACGUUUAUUGUCGGAUUUGGCUACAAUAAAGUCUGGCUGAUGGAUUGAUGAAAUACCAGAGUGAUCUAACUUAUACUUUUUUGUUCUGUCUACAAAUAACAUGUCUAUCAAGAACCGAAAAUGGAUUUCGACCGUUGUGAGGGGUAACUCAACUCACGUUGACACCAGGAAUCGAACACAGAAACCCAGUGGUGAGACCAAGUGAUGAGAGGCACUACAGAGCGCUGCUGUGCCAACUGUGUCACCCAUGCUUUCAAUAAUCGCCCUCCAUAAAUAUAGCAGCAAGCAUUCUAGGGGGGCUGCAUUGUACACCGAAUUUCACAAAAGUUUGUCAGUGCAAAUAACUUUAUGGGUACGAAUUAUUUGUAAAAUUAAAGGUUUAGAAAAAGUCCAGCAAUAUCAAAGCCAAACAGUUUUUUUAUUUAUCCAUAUUUUUCAUAGAAUAAUAAGACUCCUGGUUACUUUGUAGUUGUAGAAGUGCCAAUUGAUAAUUGCCAUUUGUGCUGGCAACAUUUUUUGAAAUAGGUGAAUGUGCAAAAAGGCCCUGGCAAAACAACACAAUAUUGAUAGCUCCAGCAUGUGCUGCUGACAAUAAAACCACUGUCGUGUUUCGAACUUGGAUUUAUUGUACUCUGUUUUACAUUUUUUUUUUGUCGGCUUUUAUGCUGGUCAAGUGUGCUAUUUCACACCUCGUAUCUCAACUAUUUUGAUUUAACAAUACCCUGGGUACCAGAGGCUCGAGCUUUGUUUGUUUACUAUGCGCCCUUUACUGACUACAAGAAGUGAAGCGACGAGACUCUGGGGUGUCUGAUAGGGUUUGCUCCUUGAAUACAGUAUUUUCUGAUUGGCUGGGUUUUUUUUACGUACCCGGGAUGCCAAUGGCUGACACAUCUACUAGAAUAAUAAUAGAAGAAUCAAUUUAAAAAACCCUAGCAUCUUAAUUUCCUGAAUUAAACAGUUAAAAAAGGAACGGAAAGGAGCAAUAGUAGCAUUUAUUGAGAGAGAGGAUGUGUUUGUGGUUCUUCCAAAGGGCUGGGGAAAGUCUUGCUUCCAAGUGAUACGGUCGAUGUAACUACUCAUCGAAACCUCUGUAGUAAUCGCUGUUUGGCCCUUGAAAUCCCUUGUCAAAUCGCAUAUCAAGGAACUAGAACUUCAAGGGAUAAUGGCAUGCAACCUCUCAAGCGAUGAUUUGAAUGGAGGCUUGAAUAUCCAUUUGUGUUCAAGAGUCCCAAAGCAAUAUGACUAUUUGUAAACAGACUUUGACAGCUCUGAAAGCACAUGUGCUGGAAGAUGACGUUAUAAUUACCAAACUGUUUUUUUGAGUUUGUGUACCUGGAACUAUGAAAACCUAUUCGUGAGGCCAGAGUCUCGUCACUUCGCUCCUUGUAGUCAGUAAAGGGUGUGUAUUAAACAAACAAAGCUCGAGACUCUGGUACCCAGGGUUAUUAAACCCUUGAACCAAUAAUAUUGGGACAAUCCUAUCUAAAACAAUCACUCCACAAUUACUUCCGGCCGCACGAAAGAC